rnacentral:rRNA from 1 species
GACGAACGCUGGCGGCGUGCUUAACACAUGCAAGUCGAACGGAAAGGUCCUGCUUUUGUGGGGUGCUCGAGUGGCGAACGGGUGUGUAUCACGUGAGUAACCUGUCCCUGACUUUGGGAUAACUUCAGGAAACUGGGGCUAAUAUCGGAUAUGAGCUCCUGCUGCAUGGGGGGGGUUGGAAAGUUUCGGCGGUUCGGGAUGGAAUCGCGGCUUAUGAGCUUGUUGGUGGGGUAGUGGCGUACCAAGGCUAUGAAGGGUAGGCGGCCUGAGAGGGUGAACGGCGACAAUGGGACUGCGAUACGGCCCAGACUCCUACGGGCGGCAGCAGGGGGGAAUAUUGCACAAUGGGCGGAAGCCUGAUGCAGAGACGCCGCGUGCGGGAUGACGGCCUUCGGGUUGUAAACCGCUUUCGCCUGUGACGAAGCGUGAGUGACGGUAAUGGGUAAAGAAGCACCGGCUAACUACGUG